GAGCUCUUGUCAGAGCUACGGUCACUUGAGCAGCAGAAGACGUCGGGAGCUCCUGUUAGAACUGCGGUCACUCAAGCACCAGGACACGUCGGGAGCUCCUGUUAGAGCUGCGGUCUCCCCAGCACCAGGACACGUCGUGAGCCCCUGUUAGAGCUGCGGUCACUCAAGCACCAGGACACGUCGGGAGCUUCACUUUUACGCGAUCAGCGCCGUGGACAGCGGCGGCUCGGCACGACAUGGACGUGGAGGAGGUGCUGGAGCGGGUGAACGGCUGGGGCCGCUACCAGAAGGUGGUGUACUUCUUCGCCUGCUUGCCGUCCAUCUUUGCGGCGACCAUCACAGUCGGCUACUCGUGGACGGCCUUCCCCAUGGAGCACAGAUGUCUGGUGGAGGGCUGUGAGGACGGCAGCAACGCUACCUACAGCGCCGACUUCCUG